rfam:Flavobacteriaceae bacterium CG2_30_34_30 cg2_3.0_scaffold_80_c, whole genome shotgun sequence.
CUAACCGUGAGGUUAGGACUGAAGGAAGCGAAACUACAAAACUCGGUACUGACGAACAGGAAUCAGAUAAGAGGCUAUUAGGCUAGAUGAGCAAGCACACCAUUGUGAAGUCCUAAACGCUUUAAG